AUGGGUUGUACUUUUAAACAAGCCAAACUAAACUCUAAUUUGAAGUGGGGAGAGGUGAAUACUUCUGUAGCAAUUGCCACCAGACAGAGUGUUGAAUUCUGUUUUUCUUUGCUCCUGGAAGGAAGACAGAUGAGCAGGAGUGAACAGUACAUUUGGAUGACUCACCUCCCAUGGAGAGAUGAUGUACCAAGUAACCUCAGGCCAGACUGUUUGUCAGUAUUGUACUGCAAGGCAAGACUUGACUUUCCAAUAUAUUGCUCCAAAGAUUUUAAUUGAACUGUAAAUACACAGAGUCCAUCGCAGGCAGUAAUUUUCUUUCUGUGCAUGGCAAAAUAAGAGACAGUAGAUUAGAGAAGUACUGUGUUAUCACUGACAUGGAAGAAUGCAGGAAGAGCUGGUGGAUGCACAUUUGUUACAAGUUAUAGGGUGACAGAAAUGGAGGAAGGAGAGGCCUCGUUCCAGUCUCUUUUCCUCAUACAACUGAGAAAUGGAGUGUGGAAAAUUAUCAGGAACUGGUAUCCAGGCAUGUGACAGGGUGAAGUCCAGUCCCACCCACAUCCUGUAGAAAAAGGCAGUGGGUAUGGCUAACACACGCAGAAGACAUUCAUUCACUGAAGACUUAGGAAGGGGCAAAUUUGUGUUCUUGGUCCAUGAAUAGUUUCUGUACUCAAAAUCACUAUGUCUGUGUUUUCUUCCACUUAAAGAAACACUGAAGUUAUUGACAAUUACUAUGAGUACUUGGGAGUGCAUACCUAAGUGACAAGCGAGGAGAUAACAGAAACGUUUCACGAAGAGCCUGCAGAUGUCUGAGAAAUUAAUAGUUUGAUUAAAACAGGAUGAGGACCAGUGAUCAGGAUCUAAUUAUGUUCAGUCUGGGUGAGGAAAAAAGAUGCUAACAUCACUACAAAUUCUCAGUGCUGCCAAGGCAAUCCUGCAUGCACCACAGGAAAAAAAUGUGAACAGAAAUCAUGUAAAGGAAGAUAUCAGAAUGGAAUCAUAAAUAGAGACAGUACUUAUUUUAGAAGAAGAGUCCAGGAAAAUGCAAGUAUUCUGCCUGCAAGAAAUAAAGCAGCAUUGCUGAAAAACUUGCCUUGGUUU
rnacentral:lncRNA from 1 species